UACGUAGGGUGCGAGCGUUGUCCGGAAUUAUUGGGCGUAAAGAGCUCGUAGGCGGUCUGUCGCGUCGAAUGUGAAAACCCGGGGCUCAACUCCGGGCUUGCAUUCGAUACGGGCAGGCUAGAGUUCGGUAGGGGAGUCUGGAAUUCCUGGUGUAGCGGUGAAAUGCGCAGAUACCAGGAGGAACACCAGUGGCGAAGGCGGUGAUCUGGGCCGAUACUGACGCUGUAGAGCGAAAGCGUGGGGAGCGAACAGG
rnacentral:rRNA from 1 species